GACAGAGGGGGCAAGCGUUGCUCGGAAUCACUGGGCGUAAAGGGCGCGUAGGCGGGAUGGCAAGUCGGUCGUGAAAUCCUUCGGCUCAACCGAAGAACGUCGGCCGAUACUGCCGUUCUUGAGGGAUGCAGAGGAGAUUGGAAUUCCCGGUGUAGCGGUGAAAUGUGUAGAGAUCGGGAGGAACACCGGUGGCGAAGGCGGGUCUCUGGGCGAUCUCCCUGACGCUGAGGCGCGAAAGCGUGGGGAGCAAACGGGG
rnacentral:rRNA from 1 species